ensembl:lncRNA
GGACUUCAUACUGACACAUUAAAAAGUGAAAUAACUAAAACCAGCAGAUGACUGCCCUCCAUGGAAUGAGUUUGGACACCUUCUGAUCUAGUGCCUUUCGACAGAAGCACAGAUCCAGGAACAGUCUCCAUUUCCUCAACCUUAACUAGUGUAGUAUAAGUUAACUACUAGGGGGGGGGAUCUGCAUGAAAACUGACCUGAGAUCAGUGUCGUGUUUUAUAAGAUGACCACUUCCUCUCUUUUACAGGUGACAUUCCUUUCCUCCUUAAACAUGUGUCGCUUUGUAUUCCUUCCCCCACUGAUUCAGUAGCAGGAAGGAGUUUUGAGGUGUCGCGUUGUAUUCCUUCCCCCACUGAUUCAGUAGCAGGAAGGAGUUUUGAGGUGUCGCGUUGUAUUCCUCCCCCCACUGAUUCAGUAGCAGGAAGGAGUUUUGAGGUGUCGCGUUGUAUUCCUUCCCCCACUGAUUCAGUAGCAGGAAGGAGUUUUGAGGUGUCACGUUGUAUUCCCUCCCCCACUGAUUCAGUAGCAGGAAGGAGUUUUGAGGUGUCGCGUUUUAUUCCCUCCCCCACUGAUUCAGUAGCAGGAAGGAGUUGAGGUGUCGCGUUUUAUUCCCUCCCCCCCACUGAUUCAGUAGCAGGAAGGAGUUUUGAGGUGUUACGAUAUCAUAGAGCCUUUUAGCGUCACAGAAUACCAGUCUACUGAUAGCAUUAAUACAACGUUUGUUAGUUUGUACAUAUACCAGUAAUAGGAUCC